rnacentral:rRNA from 1 species
AGUGAACGCUGGCGGUAGGCCUAACACAUGCAAGUCGAACGGCAGCACAGUAAGAGCUUGCUCUUACGGGUGGCGAGUGGCGGACGGGUGAGGAAUACAUCGGAAUCUACUUUUUCGUGGGGGAUAACGUAGGGAAACUUACGCUAAUACAGCAUACGACCUACGGGUGAAAGCAGGGGAUCUUCGGACCUUGCGCGAUUGAAUGAGCCGAUGUCGGAUUAGCUAGUUGGCGGGGUAAAGGCCCACCAGGGCGACGAUCCGUAGCUGGUCUGAGAGGAUGAUCAGCCACACUGGAGCUGAGACACGGUCCAGACUCUGAGGGGAGGCAGAAGUGGGGAAGAUUGGAAAAUGGGCGCAAGCCUGAUCCAGCCAUACCGCGUGGGUGAAGAAGGCCUGCGGGUGGUAAAGCCCUUUUGUUGGGAAAGAAAAGCAGCAGGUUAAAACCCCGCUGUGCGGACGGUACCCAAAGAAAAGGCACCGGCAACCUUGGU